rnacentral:lncRNA from 1 species
UCAAGAUUUGCUCUGAUGGGAUAUGGGUAUAAAUGUCCCUCCGAUCUGAGACCGCCACGGUGACUUGCAAGCAACUCACUGCACUUAGGCACUGGACUACCUGAAUUUCUAAUUCAGUGACGGAAGGCUGCUGGGUGUAGUCAAGUACUUGACUUGUCGGUACGUGUGUCAAGAUGGGAUUGACCACUCCAGUUCAGGAGCUGUGUACAGUCGUAUUUCAAUUUAGUAAAACCUUGGCCAG